rnacentral:miRNA from 1 species
AAUUGGUAUCCCUGUCAAGGUCU